UCCGUAGGUGAACCUGCGGAGGGAUCAUUACACAAUAUGAAAGCGGGCUGGAUACUCUGUAGUAGUGCAUUGCUUUACGGCGUGCGCUGCUGGAGAGCCUAGCCUUGCUGAAUUAUUUACCCGUGUCUUUUGCGUACUUCUUGUUUCCUUGGUGGGCUCGCCCGCCACAAGGACAACUCAUAAACCUUUUGUAAUAGCAAUCAGCGUCAGUAACAACAUAAUAAUUACAACUUUCAACAACGGAUCUCUUGGUUCUGGCAUCGAUGAAGAACGCAGCGAAAUGCGAUACGUAGUGUGAAUUGCAGAAUUCCGUGAAUCAUCGAGUUUUUGAACGCACAUUGCACUCCUUGGUAUUCCGAGGAGUACGCCUGUUCGAGCGUCAUUAAACUAUCAAGCUUGGCUUGGAUUUGGAUCACUGUCGUGGCAGGAUCUCAAUAUUGUAGGCAAUUGACCAUCUGUGAUGACUCACUGGGAGUUCAUUCGCCUCAAACUUUUUGACCAGUUGACCUCGGAUCAGGCGGGGAUACCCGGCUGAACUUAAGGCAUAUCAAUAAGGCGGGAGGGGAAGGUCGACUGGCCAAGGGCACACAGGGGGGGAUA
rnacentral:rRNA from 1 species